UGACCGGGGCAAGCGAGGUAGGAGUUAAGCCGGCAAAUCCGCUUAACAAUCCGAAGACGUGACGCGGACCGAACAAAAGUAGGGAAGCUGGAGAUUCGAACUGUCAAGAAAAGCCGCUAUUGUGUGAUAUGUGCCCGUACCGUAAACCGACACAGGUGGAUGAGGAGAGAAUCCUAAGGCCGGCGGGAGAAGCAUUGUUAAGGAACUCGGCAAAAUGACCCUGUAACUUCGGGAUAAAGGGUGCCUGCGCAAGCAGGCCGCAGAGAAUAGGCUCAAGCAACUGUUUAGCAAAAACACAGGUCUAUGCAAAACCGAAAGGUGAGGUAUAUGGGCUGACGCCUGCCCGGUGCUGGAAGGUUAAGAGGAGAGGUUAGAGCAAUCGAAGCUUUGAAUUUAAGCCCCAGUAAACGGCGGCCGUAACGAUAACGGUCCUAAGGUAGCGAAAUUCCUUGUCGGGUAAGUUCCGACCCGCACGAAAGGCGUAAUGAUUUGAGCGCUGUCUCGACAAUGCACCCGGUGAAGUUGAAAUACCAGUGAAGAUGCUGGUUACCUGCGCCAGGACGGAAAGACCCCAUGGAGCUUUACUCCAGCUUGAUACUGGGAUUCGGUUAUACAUGUACAGGAUAGGUGGGAGGCUAAGAAGUGAGGACGCCAGUCUUCACGGAGCCGCUGUUGGGAUACCACCCUUGUGUGACUGGGUUUCUAACCUGCAGCCGUGACCCGGCUGGGGGACAAUGUCAGGUGGGGAGUUUGACUGGGGCGGUCGCCUCCGAAAGGGUAUCGGAGGCGCUCAAAGGUUCCCUCAGAAUGGUUGGAAACCAUUUGCAGAGUGCAAAGGCAUAAGGGAGCUUGACUGCGAGACCGACGGGUCGAGCAGGUAGGAAACUAGGACUUAGUGAUCCGGUGGUAUAAAGUGGGAUUGCCAUCGCUCAACGGAUAAAAGCUACCCUGGGGUAACAGGCUUAUCACUCCCAAGAGUUCACAUCGACGGAGUGGUUUGGCACCUCGAUGUCGGCUCAUCGCAUCCUGGGGCUGAAGUAGGUCCCAAGGGUUGGGCUGUUCGCCCAUUAAAGCGGUACGCGAGCUGGGUUCAGAACGUCGUGAGACAGUUCGGUCCCUAUCCGGCGUGGGCGUAGGAUAUUUGAGAGGAGCUGUCCUUAGUACGAGAGGACCGGGAUGGACUGACCUCUGGUGCAUCGGUUGAGAAUCAAUCUCAUGGCCGAGUAGCCAAGUCGGGUCGGGAUAAACGCUGAAGGCAUCUAAGCGUGAAGCCCCCCUCAAGAUGAGAUAUCCCAUACGCAAGUAGUAAGACCCCUUGAAGACGACGAGGUAGAUAGGGCAGAGGUGGAAGCAUGGUAACAUGUGCAGCUGACUGUCACUAAUAGGUCGAGGGCUUAACU
rnacentral:rRNA from 1 species